GGGGGGGGGGGGGGGGGGGGUGGGGGGGGGGGGGGCGGGCGGGGGGGGCGGGCGGGGGGGGGGUGCUCGAGGGGCGGACGGGUGGGUAACACGUGAGUAACCUGCCCUUGACUUUGGGAUGACUUCAGGAAACUGGGGCUAAUACCGGAUAGGAGCUCCGGCUGCAUGGUGGGGGUUGGAAAGUUUCGGCGGUUGGGGAGGGACGCGCGGCUGAUCAGCUUGUUGGUGGGGUAGUGGCUUACCAAGGCUUUGACGGGUAGCCGGCCUGAGAGGGAGACCGGCCACAUUGGGACUGAGAUACGGCCCAGACUCCUACGGGAGGCAGCAGUGGGGAAUAUUGCACAAUGGGCGGAAGCCUGAUGCAGCAACGCCGCGUGCGGGAUGACGGCCUUCGGGCUGUAAACCGCUUUCGCCUGUGACGAAGCGUGAGUGACGGUAAUGGGUAAAGAAGCACCGGCUAACUACGUG
rnacentral:rRNA from 1 species